rnacentral:rRNA from 1 species
UAAUCAUGCCGUCGAACGAGCACUUGUGCUUAGUGGCAAAUGGGUGAGUAACACGUACUUAAUCUACCCCCAAGUUUGGGAUAACAGUUGGAAACAAUUGCUAAUACCAAAUACAUAUAAGUUUUGCAUAAUUCUUAUAUAAAAGGAGCGUUUGUUUCGCUAGGGGAUGAGAGUGCGCUACAUUAGUUAGUUGGUAGGGUAAGAGCCUACCAAGACUAUGAUGUAUAGCGGGGCUGAGAAGCUGAACCGCCACACUGGGACUGAGAUACGGCCCAGACUCCUACGGGAGGCAGCAGUAGGGAAUAUUCCACAAUGAGCGAAAGCUUGAUGGAGCAACACAGCGUGCAGGAAGACGACCUUAGGGUUGUAAACUGCUGUUAUGAGGGAAGAAAAAUAAAAUUAGGAAAUGAAUUUUACAUGACGGUACCUCAUCAGAAAGCACCGGCAAACUAUGUGCCAGCAGCCGCGGUAAUACAUAGGGUGCAAGCGUUAUCCGGAAUUAUUGGGCGUAAAGUGUCUGUAGGUGGUAUGUUAAGUCUAGUGUUUA